GAGCUCACUCUGACAGCAUGCAUAGUAGAAUUAGAAUGAUACAGAGUAGAUAACUGUGACCCCUGGACAAGGAUGACGCACACAAAAUUAUUUACGUGAUGCAGAUAUUU
rnacentral:snRNA from 1 species